GUGCGAGGCUUCCGGCUUCGCCGGGGCUUGCCGGUUUGGGGACCAGCGUCAGGUCUUUACCGGCGGCGGCGCUUCGAGAGGCAGAGGUCGGUCCGGAAGCGCCGCGAGGAGCUGACGACGCCCUGGCGGCGGCCCCUGACGCUGCCCGAUGAGAAGCCGGCACGGCGGGCGGGGGGCCGGGGAGGGGGAAGGGAGAGGCUGCUGCUGCUGAGGCCGCGGUGGAGGAGGCGGGGUUGGGAUAGGUAGUUGCAGUGGCCGGUGCGGAGCGAGCGGGCUGGGAGGAGGGAGAGGCUGCGGGAGCCGGCGAAGGUCGGGAUGAGGGGGCGGGCGGGUCGGUGGCACCCGAAGAAGAGGAGGGCNNNNNNNNNNNNNNNNNNNNNNNNNNNNNNNNUCCAGCGGCAGCGGGCGAGGGACAGAUUUAGUAACCGGGAGUGGGUGGGGGAGCACAAAGACGAGCAUCGGGGGAGGCGGAGGAGGUUGGAGAGGUAGGUGAGCAAGCUGAUGGCGCGGAAGGAGGAACACCUAAGGGCGGAGAAGGGGUGGAGGGAGGUCCAGCAGUUGCACCCAGGACCAAAGGCCCCGGUCAUGGUGUGGAAGCGCCGCCUCAGCGGUUACGGCACCGACGGCGCAGGCGGCCGUUUCCCGAAGUCGUAGUCUCUGGUCUUCCGCUACCUACCCUACUAACUACGCAAGCCCGACCCUUCCCACCUCCGGAACCACCGGAGCCGGUGCCCCGUUAGUUGGCUCCACCUCCUCUACAUAAGGCCCUACGAUUCCUCCGACCUCUCCGAACGAGCCCUCCGCCUCCCCCCUUCCUUCGACCACGCGGCAGUCCUUUUGUUCUUGAAUAACCGUUUCUAUUUUUAACGGCCCAACUUCAUUCCCGUCUCUAGAACAAGAGUCGUUCGCACAUCUCCGAGACAUUCUCACCAGCGUUCUAAACUUCGGCCCUAGGAACUUGACAUGGAACUCAACUUCACGGACGGAUAAAGGAGGAGAAAAACCGACCUACUAAAGACCUGAAGGUCAUAGCGUAUAAACAAGAAAACUUGUCUUCUAAGUCCCCCAAGUUUCCUACGCCUUUGGUCCUAUCAUUUACACUUGGGUCAAGAAAAAAGGAACGCACGUUUCUACACCGUAGUAAAGCGGUGACGGGGAAGUUUUCGACUUACGUCAUCACAAGGUACAAUACACCAAUUCGUCUAAGUUCAGGUUAAACCUAAACGGUAAGAUCAUCAUACGAAAAUAAACGUCACCUCGACACUGAACCACCAUGGGCUUAGUCGCAAGUAGCUGG
rnacentral:rRNA from 1 species